rnacentral:rRNA from 1 species
AGGACUAACGCUGGCGGCGUGCCUAACACAUGCAAGUCGAACGAGAGUAGCAAUACUCUAGUGGCAGACGGGUGAGUAACACGUGGUCAACCUUCCCUAGCGUGGGGGAUAACUAGCCGAAAGGUUAGCUAAUACCGCAUGACAUCGUCGAGUGGCAUCAUUUGACGAUCAAAGGAGCAAUCCGCGCAAGGACGGGACCGCGUCCCAUUAGCUAGUUGGUGAGGUAACGGCCCACCAAGGCUUCGAUGGGUAGCUGGUUUGAGAGAGCGACCAGCCACACUGGGACUGAGACACGGCCCAGACUCCUACGGGAGGCAGCAGUGAGGAAUUUUCCGCAAUGGGCGAAAGCCUGACGGAGCGACGUCGCGUGUGGAAGAAGGCCUUCGGGUCGUAAACCACUGUCGAAGGGGAAGAUAUUGACGGUACCUUGGAGGAAGCCCGGCUAACUACGUGCCAGCAGCCGC